AGAGUUUGAUCCUGGCUCAGGAUGAACGCUAGCUACAGGCUUAACACAUGCAAGUCGAGGGGCAGCAUGUCGGUUGCUUGCAACCGAUGAUGGCGACCGGCGCACGGGUGAGUAACGCGUAUCCAACCUACCCUUGUCCAUCGGAUAACCCGUCGAAAGGCGGCCUAACACGAUAUGCGGUUCUCAGCAGGCAUCUAACGAGAACGAAAUGUGAAGGAGAAGGAUGGGGAUGCGUCUGAUUAGCUUGUUGGCGGGGUAACGGCCCACCAAGGCUACGAUCAGUAGGGGUUCUGAGAGGAAGGUCCCCCACAUUGGAACUGAGACACGGUCCAAACUCCUACGGGAGGCAGCAGUGAGGAAUAUUGGUCAAUGGACGGGAGUCUGAACCAGCCAAGUAGCGUGCAGGACGACGGCCCUAUGGGUUGUAAACUGCUUUUAUAGGGGGAUAAAGUGUGCCACGUGUGGCAUAUUGCAGGUACCCUAUGAAUAAGGACCGGCUAAUUCCGUGCCAGCAGCCGCGGUAAUACGGAAGGUCCGGGCGUUAUCCGGAUUUAUUGGGUUUAAAGGGAGCGUAGGCCGUCUUAUAAGCGUGUUGUGAAAUGUCGGGGCUCAACCUGGGCAUUGCAGCGCGAACUGUGAGACUUGAGUGCGCAGGAAGUAGGCGGAAUUCGUCGUGUAGCGGUGAAAUGCUUAGAUAUGACGAAGAACUCCGAUUGCGAAGGCAGCCUGCUGUAGCGCAACUGACGCUGAAGCUCGAAAGCGUGGGUAUCGAACAGGAUUAGAUACCCUGGUAGUCCACGCGGUAAACGAUGGAUGCUCGCUGUUUGCGUCUGACGUAAGCGGCCAAGCGAAAGCGUUAAGCAUCCCACCUGGGGAGUACGCCGGCAACGGUGAAACUCAAAGGAAUUGACGGGGGCCCGCACAAGCGGAGGAACAUGUGGUUUAAUUCGAUGAUACGCGAGGAACCUUACCCGGGCUUGAACUGCAGGCGAACGAUUCAGAGAUGAUGAGGCCCUUCGGGGCGCCUGUGGAGGUGCUGCAUGGUUGUCGUCA
rnacentral:rRNA from 1 species